GACGAACGCUGGCGGCGUGCCUAAUACAUGCAAGUCGAACGCAGUGGGGACGGGUGAGUAACACGGGGGUAACCGCACAUCAGGGGGGAUAACAUUUGGAAACAGGUGCUAAACGGAUAUUGAUGGUUGGACCGGCGGUGCAUUAGCUAGGUGGUGGGUUAACGGCUCACCAAGGCUACGAUGCGUAGCUGGCCUGAGAGGAUGAUCAGUGACACUGGGACUGAGACACGGCCCAGACUCCUACGGGAGGCAGCAGUGGGGAAUAUUGGGCAAUGGACGAAAGUCUGACCGAGCAAUGCCGCGUGAGUGAAGAAGGUUUUCGGAUCGUAAAGCUCUGUUGGUAGAGAGGCGUUAUCUAACGAAUAAGCCACGGCUAACUUCGUGCCAGCCGCCGCGGUAAUUC
rnacentral:rRNA from 1 species